AGGCUCGGUAGCUCAGUUGGUAGAGCAAUGGAUUGAAGCUCCAUGUGUCGGCGGUUCGAUUCCUGGCGCGGGGGUUCGAAUCCCCCAUUCUCC
rnacentral:tRNA from 1 species